rnacentral:rRNA from 1 species
GACGAACGCUGGCGGCGUGCUUAACACAUGCAAGUCGAACGGUAAGGCCCUUCGGGGUACACGAGUGGCGAACGGGCGAGUAACACGUGGGUGAUCUGCCCUGCACUUCGGGAUAAGCCUGGGGAACUGGGUCUAAUACCGGAUAGGACCACUGCCUGCAUGGGUGGGGGUGGAAAGCUUUUGCGGUGUGGGAUGGGCCCGUGGCGUAUCAGCUUGUUGGUGGGGGGGUGGACUACCAAGGCGACGACGGGUAGCCGGCCUGAGAGGGUGACCGGCCACACUGGGACUGAGAUACGGCCCAGACUCCUACGGGAGGCAGCAGUGGGGAAUAUUGCACAAUGGGCGCAAGCCUGAUGCAGCGACGCCGCGUGAGGGAUGACGGCCUUCGGGUUGUAAACCUCUUUCAGCACCGACGAAGCGCAAGUGACGGUAGGUGCAGAAGAAGGACCGGCCAACUACGUGCCAGCCGCCGCCGUAA